AUGUCCGUGGCUCAAUGGUUAGAGCGUUUGACUUCUGAUCAAUGAGUGAAGGGUUCGAUCCUCGGGUGGU
rnacentral:tRNA from 1 species